GAUGAACGCUGGCGGCGUGCCUAAUACAUGCAAGUCGAGCGGACGGACGAGAAGCUUGCUUCUCUUAUAUUAGCGGCGGACGGAGUAGUAAAACGUGGAUAACCUCCCUAUUAGACUGGGAUAACCUCGGGAAACCGGAGCUAAUACCGCAGCAUAUUUUGAACCACAUGGUUCAACAGUGAGAGACAGUCUUGCUGUCACUUAUAGAUGGAUCUGCACUGCCUUAGAUAGUUGGUAAGGUAAGGGCUUACGAAGGCAACGAGGCAUAGCCGACCUGAGGGGGUGGUCGGCCACACUGGAACUGAGAGACGGUGCCGACUCCUACGGGAGGCAGCAGUAGGGAAUCUUACGCAAUGGGCGAAAGCCUGACAGAGCAACGUCGCGGGAGUGAUGAUGGUCUGCGGAUCGUAAAAGUCUGUUAUUAGGGAAGAACAUAUGUGUAAGUAACUGUGCACAUCUUGACGGUACCUAAUCAGAAAGCCACGGCUAACUACGUG
rnacentral:rRNA from 1 species